rnacentral:rRNA from 1 species
UACGUAGGGGGCGAGCGUUGUCCGGAUUCAUUGGGCGUAAAGCGCGCGCAGGCGGCCAGAUGAGCCCGGCGUGAAAGCCCCCGGCUCAACCGGGGGAGGUCGUCGGGGACCGUCUGGCUGGAGGCCGGUAGGGGCGAGCGGAAUUCCCGGUGUAGUGGUGGAAUGCGUAGAGAUCGGGAGGAACACCAGUGGCGAAGGCGGCUCGCUGGGCCGGUCCUGACGCUCAGGCGCGAAAGCGUGGGGAGCGAUCCGGAUUAGAAACCCUAGUAGUCC